rnacentral:lncRNA from 1 species
GAGAGCGGGAGGGAGGAGGGCGGAGGAGGAGCAGGAGGACUACGCGGGGCGCGUUCCCUCCCAGGUUUGCAAUUGGGGGGGGUGGGGGCGGGGGUGUCCAGGGCUGGGAGAGUGUGUGCGCGGGGAGGGGGCGAGGGGGCGCAGAGAGAGCGAAGGAGUGAUCGAGGUGGGGGGGGCGCCGCGGGAGCGGGGGGCCGUGUCCAGCGGAGUUAGCGGCGGAGAAUGUGAGCCGAGGCGCGAGCCAUGCUGUCAGCGACGGCGGGCAGCUCAGGGCUCCUCCACGACUCCUCUCCUCAGCAGCCGGGCGCCCGUGUCGCUGCCACCGCCGGAAGACAGACGCCCCCCAAAACCCCUCGCCUGGCUCGGACCUACGGAGCCGGCAGCCCAGCACUCCGAUGGGAGCUUGCCUGAUUGUCUACCCAUUGGCCUGGACCCCAGAGUCCACCCAGCUGAGCGUGUGCAGAGGGCCCCGAGUGCGGGGCGCUGCUCAGGCCAUUGCAGAGACCACCCUGGAGAUGCUGAUGAAGACAGGCCUUUCCUGCUGAGCCGGCCCUGUCUGCACAGCCUGCUCAGGUAACAGUGUGCAGGGAAGUCAGGCUUGGGCCUGGGCCACCCCCAGGAAGUGGGGAUCAGGGGGACUUGCCUCCCAGUCCCAACAGGGAUCCCCUCCCAGCUUAGGCCAAAAAGAGGUUCUUAACAGAAUCAAAACAUAUUAACCCAACAUUUACUCAAACUCCCCAUUAUCCAGAAAGGGGAACUGAGGUUCAUGGAUAUACAGUGAGUCCUACCUCCUAGCCUGAGGACUCUUCCCUGCGCCUUGAUGACCUGAGAGAACUGGGAGGAGAAAGGGGUUGUGACAAUGACCAGGACUCAGGGCAGAGUUGGAAACCAGAGUGCCUGAUGUGUGCAGCUGCUGACCCCCCAGGACACCUCUCUACCGGAGUCUGUGGAAGCAGAGAACUGGGAGGCCAAGGUGAGGUGCUGGGAGGGCCUGGGUAGCCCAGGUAUGCUAGAGUGUCCUUACUGGACAGGGAGGGGGCGGGGGCAGUGGCAGGACCCGCCUCCCUACUCCUGGCCCAGGUUCGCCCACCCUGGCUCAGGAGCUGCAGAGCUAGGUGAAGCUGCCCUGCCCUGCAGAGGCAACUCCCUGAACUGACACAUGAAGCCUCUGGCUCCAGGAAGCUCCUAGAGCUGAGCCUGCCUGGGGACCCCACCCAGCUUCCAAAGGAGCAUUCCUGGGGCCUGAGGUCUGGGGGUGGAGCCUCCUGCGAUUGUAAGGGUGGGGAGAUACAGCUGUGGGAGGAUGCACGGCUGUGUGUAUCCAACUAUAAAUGGACAGGGCACUCAAGCUUGUGUGCAAGCUGGUGUGUGUGGAGGGCUCUGUCCUGGGCACAGGGGUAAUAUACAAGAGUUGUGUAAGGAUUGGGCUGGGGGGGUGUUGAAGGGCUGUGUAUGUGGUACGUGAGAGCAUAGAUAUGCAGGAUUCCGGGUAUGUACUGGGCAGGUGUGGGGAUACCGUGUGUGCCAAACUGGAUGGUGUGUGUGCAAGGGUGCUAGUGUACACUGGAGAAAUGUGUAUAUAGACAAGAUCUGAAUACACUGCGAUGGUAUACAGUGUGUGCACAUGGGGAUCUGUGUGUACACUGGCGAAGUGUAUACUCAGUGUUCUGGACAUACAGUGGGAGUGAUGUGUGCACAUGUGGCUCCAUUUGUGCUUUGGAGGUGGGUUGGGCAAGCCUUGAGCUGAGCUGGGCUCAGCAGUGCCCAGCCUUGUGGCCAAAUCGCUGAAGUCACUUCCUUUCCAGCAGCAACUUUCCAGGAGGAGGAGUUCUUCAGACCUGGGCGGGGAGGGAGGUGGGGGGCGGAACAAGGAGCUCUCCGGGGAAGGAGGUGGGGCGGGGGUGAGAGGCUGCUGGGAGGGCCUAGUGGGGCUGGAGGAGGGGAGUCCUUUGGGAGACAGAAGGAAAGACAAGGACAGAAGUCUGGAAGGGCCAAGGGCAGGAGGGGAGGGGGGCGGAGCAGGGCGGGAAGCAUAGUCCCUGGGUGACCUCGGAGGGAGGAAGGGAGGGCCCCGGCAGGGUGACCCUCGGGUCCAGCCAGAGCUGGCGGUGGCGCCUGCACACCUGGCACCCAGGGCAGGGGGCUGGCAGGGGGCAGUUCUGGGGCAGACCUGCUUGCCAGGUGCCCUGCUCCGGGCAGGAAGGGGGUGGGCGAGGGUUGCACAAAGGAGCUCUGUGUGGCUGGGGGUAGGGUGGGGUGGGGUGUGCAGUGCUGUACUGUGCUGUGGCGGAGUGGGGGGGGGCGCCUGAUGGCCCCAGGGGGCGGGGCAGGGCCAGCUCCCCUUGGGGGCAUCAGUGGCUCCAAGGGGACACCUAGUGGCGAGGGAGAGUACUGUGUCUAGUUGAAUGGCUGUUGGUGGGAGGUGGUAGCUAGAAGCUGAGAGAAUAGAUUAGAAGUCGAAAAUUAGAACUGAUUGUUGGGACUAGGACAGUUGGAGGAGGCUGCAUGGGAGGGGCUGAAUCUCUGGACAGCGAAGCAGUUUGAUUUAGAGAAGCUCAACAAACCUAAAUUCAGACACCAGCUGAAUUGAAUGAGAUGGCUGUUUGUCCUUAAGGGCAUAACUUCACCUCUCUGUGCCUCUGUUUAAAUGAUGCCAAAUGAGUGAUGGCUGCCAUUAUUAUUGCCAUUAUUGUUUUUGUUAUGAUAUUGUGCGUGUGGUUGGAAGAUCUUCAGGUGUUAUUGUGUGGGCAGAUAGGUAGCUGAAGGAAAGGAGGUUGAGAGAGGUGAUGACUAGUCCCUGAAGGGCAGAUCCUGAGAGAUAAGGCCCCUGGAGGAGAAGGGAGGUGAUGGGAAGGUCUCAGAGCACCAGUAAUGGCCCCUCUGAAGCAGUGUUUUCCAUUUGAGGACAUCCUUGGGCCUUCGAACCAGGCUGGGAGGAAAAUGGUGGGGGAGGAGGAGUGUGCAAGCUGGAGAGAGGGUCAUGAGGCCGGAAGUGAGAGCUGGGGCUGGCAGCCUGGCUCCCCUGGGGAGGUGGUGUGUGGGGGAGGGGAAGGAGGGUUGGGGAAGGGGUGGGGUGGUCACAGCCACAGCGGGGAGGGUGGGGCUGGGGACUCAAGGAUGUGGGCUGGCGCUUCCCGGCACUGUGCACAGUAGGUUGGGGCCCCCAGCCUUCUCCCAACCAGCUGGUGUCCCCAUGGGCAAACUCAGACACAUUGACCCAGCAGCAGACAGAAGGACCCCUUUGACUUUAUCCACAGACCAAGACUAGGUGGUACCCUUGGGAGAGGGCCAAGAGAAUGGCCACGGGGGUGUGGUGAGGAGGGGAGCCAGCUGCUUUUCUCAGAUCCUGGAGGCUUCGAAAGAGAGCAGUGACCAGCCUCAGGAGGCCUGGUUGGAGGACACGCCCAGAGGUCUUCACGGGUGGGUGGAACAGAAGCCACCACCGGAGAGGAGGUUUUUCUCUUCUGCCAAGGUCACACCCUCAGGCCCCAGCUGGGAGGUCUCCAGAGUGGGGAAGGCUUGGCUAGCCUGACCCUCAGUAAGAGAGGGAGGGGGCUUCUGGUAGGCACCUCCAAAUGGGCUUCAGGAGCCACAGCGCAACCAUACUGUUGGAAACUGGACUUGGAGGUUCCAAAGUCUGAGCCCCUUUUCUCAUUGGUGAAGGUGUUACCCACUGUCCUCCCUGCGACAGCAACAGUGCUCCAAAUUCUUGGACUAGAGAGAGCCUGACCUGGUCCACAGCCAGGCCUGGGAGAGAGCAAAGCCCUGAGUGAGCCAGUAGGUGGGACAAUGAGGAGCAGCUGAGGCCUGGAACCUGCAGAAGAGGGAAGGAACAGUGAAUGCAGGGAUGUUCCACCUGGGUAGGCAACACAAGGGUCCCUUCCCAUGCCAUUCUGUGGCCUCAGACAAAGUCACUUUCCCUCUUCAGGUCUCAGUUUCCUCAUCUAUAAAAUGGGAGAGGCAUGAGAUGGCACUAGAAAGUGUACCCACUGGGGUAGCUGGUUAAGAAUACAGAUUCCCAUAUGUCCCUUCACAUCUAUGAGUCACACUCCCCUGGACUAGGGCCUGGGUAUUGGGAAUGUUACACAGCUCCCCCAGGCCCAGUCUUUGGAAGCCAAUGGGUUAGAUAAUUUUAAGAUUCCUCCCAGCCUUAAAUUAGACCAUGGUGCUAGAAGGAGCAUUUUCAGAAGUGGCUGAAGGAUUGUUGCAGGAGCUGGGAGUGGAAGGAGGCUUUGGACUUAAGGCAGAAUUAGGAAUCCUGCCACUUAGCAGCUAUGUGAUUUCAGGCAAGUUACACAUCCACUCUGAGCCAGUUUCCCCUAUAACAUGAGGAUAAUAAAUCAUGCCCCUCAGGCUGCUGUGAGGAUUCAGCGGGUCAUAGAUGUGUAGGUGCUUUGUAGACUGCAAAUAGCCAUUCCCCAAAGGGGAGCAGAGAAGUGUCUCUUUCUGCUCUCUCCUGUCCCUGAGUCAGCUCUACAGUCUUCCUGUGGGGUGACAGCACUGGCUGCUGGGGAGAGUCUACAUGGGUCUGUGGCAUGUAGGCCCCAGGGAUCAGUACUAGGUCAGAGCCAAACAUUAGGCAGUGAUCAAGGUCAGUCUUCAAGACCUUCACAGUAUUGGGGUCCAUUCAGCUACCUGCUCUCUGAGAUCCCAGCUCAUGGGAUCAGCCACGGCCCUGAGUCCUCAGACUCCUUUGGGAGUCAGACAUACCUGAAUCUAAAUCCUAGCUCUGCCCUGACCAGCUUAGGGAGUCAGCUGGUAAAUAUUUAUGUAGCAUUCAUAGCCCAGGCCCUGGGGUCAGGCGAUACAGCAGUAAAUAAGACAGACAUGAUCCCUGCCUCUGAAAAGCCCACACUCUUGAGGUGGGGGGACACACUCAGCAGCCAGUCACACAAGUAAUUGAUUAUAAUGGUGAUAAGUACUAUGAAGGUGAAAUAGAUAGGGCUCUGAGAGGAUGUAGCAGGGGCCAAGAUAAGGCCAGAGGUAGGAUGGGGCAGCAGAGUUUUUCUGAUGAAGGUGAAAGAAGGGUCAGAGAAUGUCCCUUUUCACAUUCUUGGGUCCUUCCCUCAGCAUCCUUCUUGGGUCUGGAAAAGAAGAAAAAAGCCUCAAGGGAAAAGGUGGGAUUGAUUGCUCUGUAUACUUCAUUUGUUUGUUCAUUCAUUCAACAAACUUUUUAAAUUUAAUUUUUUGGAGAAAGGAUCUCACUCUGCUGCCCAGGCUGGAGAGCAGUGGCGUGAUCAUAGCUCAGAGCAGCCAGCCUCAACUUCCUGGACUCAAGUGAUCCUCCCACUUCUCAGCCUCUUGAGCAGCUGGGACUAUAGGUGUGCACUACCAUGCCCAGCUAAUUUUUAAAUGUUUGUAGGGACGCCGUCAUGCCGUGUCGCCCAGGCUGGUCUCGAACUCCUGGACUCAAGCGAUCCUCCUGCCUCAGCCUCCCAUAGUGCUGGGAUUACAGAUGUGAGCUCCUGUCCCUGGCCACACAGCCAUUU